UUUUAUGAGGCAUGCUUUGAGUUUGGGGUUUAAAUCCCCCAUAAGUGGUUAGACAUUGGCAUUAACACUUUCUUGCCUUUGUAUUAAAGAAAUGUGGAAUGUGAUGGAGACCUGUUUCCUCAGUCCUAGUUGCCAGAUCACCCCAUAAAUGCCCUCACCAUAUCUGCCCUAGAGACAAUCUCCAUGGAAAAUUUCUAAUCCACAUUCGCACUGCUCUGCUGAUUCCCAGCCAGUCAAUUCCAUUCGACUGCCUGUAUUCACUGCAUUCAACAAUCGCAGCCUGCUUGGGUUUUUAUGCUGCUGCUGACCUGAUUUUCCAAAGUCUGCCCCUCCCAGCUCAGCACCCACCCCAUGUGAUCCAGCCUCCCUAAAUAAAGUUGUAUUUACUGUGAGAGCUGAGCCUGUGUGGAUCACUCCCAGCCUGCAGCACAACUCCCAGCUUGAGGAUCUCGGCAUCAGCAUCCCAUUCACUAAUCUGUCUGAGAAGCAGCCAAGACUCUGCAGGAUGAAUCUGCACCAGUAACACAACAGAGGUCUGGGGGAAAGGUAUUGAGCUUUUCCAUACAAGCAGUGGGAAGCAGUUUUAAGGAUGGUCAACCAGUUUGUGACAUACUUGGACACCUUGGUGGAGGAAAUUUUUUUAAACUUCUGAAAUUAGCAUUUCUUUUCUGUUUCCAGCCAACAACUUAUUACAUGGCAUUGGACUACAGCGACUAUACCUUCAUUUUCAUGGACAUUGUAUAUUUAUAAGGGUCCUGAACCAAGUCUAAAGAGGACGAGCUUGUACCUAAACAAAUCCUCACACUAAUGGUUGCUGCUCAAUGGAUAUUUACAACAUUCCUUCCUUGUCCGUUAAACUGCACUCUUCUUCAGAUGAUGACAUGUUUUAUUAAAAUCUGAAGGACGUUUGACAUUAUUGUGAUGGUGCUAAGUACAAUCUCACAUUGUUUACUACAUAGAGAGUUUCUUCUGACUGGGCAGUAGACUAACACCUUGGGCAUCGCAAGGGUAUCCAACAUAUGGAAAAGAUGUAAAAUUAUAGGCCAAAAUCCAAAGAUUAUAGAAUCCUGUUUAAAGAAGAAAUAUCCAAUGAAGCCUACAUUCGAAUUACCUCCUUCUCCAGUAUAUCCAACUGAUUUUGAUUCUGUGAUCAAUCAAAAUGUUACAGGCGACACGGACGUGAGACUUCUAGAUGGUGCUUUGUCAUCCAUUGUCGUCCUGAUUAUGCUGCUCUCCAUCAUCUGCUCCUUGGUGGUGACGUCACUACUGACUUACUGCUUUCAUAAGUGGAAGCUCCGAGCAAGAAAACUGCAGAGGGCCCAGGAAGAAUAUCAGAAAGACCAAGAGAAAAACAUGUCCCCCUGCACGUCUUGACUGUACAAGCAUCUGGAAACCUUGGCAAGGCAAUAACAGGACCUUUAUACUUCUCAAAGCUUCAUCUGACAAGCCAAUCUUGCAUCUUGCUACUUUAUUCAUGCACUUAUUGGUCUACAUUAAUGGAGCACAUCAUCUGUAACCACUUAUUUCUGUAACUAAGGUCCUGAUUACAAAUUAGCCGCCUAACAGUUGCACUGUAGCACAGUCAAGCAAAUGAAUUGUAAUAUAUCUAGUAGCUGCUGCUCAGUAAAUAGGUCUGUAUUUUUUUUUUUUUUAUAAAAUUAAAUAUGUUUAUCUUGUUGACCUAUACAUACAGUAUAUUUAAGUGGAAUUUUAGGUUCAGGGAAUUUGGCAGGAUUAAACAUGUCUUAUCUGAAAGGGGAAGGCAAUUGGAUGAUAAAGGGAGGAAUUUAUGCUUCAAAACUUUAUUUGAUGCAACUUUUAACAGAAACAACUUACUCAACUACAUUAACCUGUAAAAUUUCUAAUAUAUAUAUCACGUCAGAUACUUAUUUACACAUGUAAUAUGCUAUGGGCAAACUGAGGGAAGAUAUAGUAACCAUGAUUUAGAGUUGAGCAAUGAUUUAUUUAAAAAAAAAAGGCAAACUUCCCCUAUGGAUAUUUUCUCAAUUAAUCUUCAUUAAAAUUUCAUCUGAGGAAGGGAACCACCUGAAAGUUUAGGCACUUAAAUAAAAUAUGUUGCCUAUAAGUAAGGCUGUGUGCCCUGUCCAUUAAAGAAGAUUUUAUAUAGCAAAGUGGGGAGCAGCUGUGGACAUAGUGUGCUGAUUAUUAUGUAUAUUAUGUGCCUUUUCCCAGUAAAGGCAUUUCCAGUUACCAGUUCACAAUGAUCUUAGAAUAAAAAUCACUUGAG